UCACAGUUUAAAAAGUUUAUUAUCAUACAAUGUGCCAUGUCAUUUGAUAGAUGGUAGGAAGAACCACUAUGAAUAGUUGCUUGUAGUUAUACCCACAUUACAAAACACCUUGGUGAUAAAUAUUUCAUUACACAAUCAACUGUAAUCCUAAUGGCCAUGGAAUUUGGAUUUCUUAAGUGUCCCAAUGCCAGUGAAUAAACCUCAUCUACAGUAAAGAUGUAAAACCAGUGUAGUCGAUUCAUCUCUUAGACCAUAGAAAUGGCAUUGGUUGGAGCAUCAACAUUGCUAUUAGUAGUCCUUGUGCUUCAAAGUGCAUAGGAACCAACUUUUUUUUAGAAAAAAACCUUGACAUUUGAGAGAACUCAAGGCUUUAAAAUGACAUCUGGACAGAGUCAUAAUUUUGAAUUAAACAAUGAAUAUCUUUUUGUAAUGCAUGUGCAUGAGAUGCAAGACCAUUUCUUCAAGGCACAAUUCUGGAAUUACUAUUUAAUGGAUUAAGACCAUAUCAGCAUGCUUUUCUUUUGUCAUAUAGCCAAGGGGAUGCUUCUUUUUUUUUUUUUUUUUUUAAGUUGCACAAAAACAACUUAAUCACAACACUGUCAGCUCCAUAUUGUCAGUUCAUGAAACAGAAAGACUCAAAGACCAUCUAACACUGAAAACAUCAAUAUGACGUGGAGGACGUUAUAGUACAUGGGUGAAAGAGGUAUCUCUUCAAUGAGGUUGUUUACAUGGAAGGGAAUCACAUUUUGUAGCAUUUUCCAUCAUUUGUUAUAGACGUGCAAGUUAAAGCAAUAGUUAUUACAAUACGACCCCCCCCCCGGCCCAAAGACAAGGACUAAACAGUGGAGGUUGCUAUCAAACCCUACGCUCUACUAAAAUUAGAGUAAAAAUAAGAAAAAAGGCACAUAUACAGCAGCAAGUCUGUCUUUGUGAGUCGUGUUGUAAAGUCUGUGUCGUUGAGAGGCGGGGGAGGGGCCGUUGUGUGGUUGGGUUGCUGCCCUCUGACACGGCUCUCUCUCACGGGCCUAGUGGUCAGUCGCCGUGACGAGUUCGAACCACUGCCUCAGCGCGUCACUCAGAGUCUCUGGCAAGGCGUUGACGUCACGCAGGAUCACGUAGAAGGGGAACGGAAACUCGUCCAUGUAGGUGCGGAUCUCGGGCAUCUCUCCUGGACCUUUGAAGAUGGGCACCUUGAUGUCCAGGAUGGAGUCC
ensembl:lncRNA